CCCUGCCAUUUGUACACACCGCCCGUCGCUCCUACCGAUUGAAUGGUCCGGUGAAGUGUUCGGAUUGCGGCGACGUGGGCGGUUCGCUGCCGGCGACGUUGUGAGAAGUCCACUGAACCUUAUCAUUUAGAGGAAGGAGAAGUCGUAACA
rnacentral:rRNA from 1 species